UACGUAGGGGGCAAGCGUUGUCCGGAAUCAUUGGGCGUAAAGAGCGCGUAGGCGGUCCGGUAAGUCGGUUGUGAAAACUGGGGGCUCAACCCUCAGAGGCCGACCGAUACUGUCGGGCUAGAGUCCGGAAGAGGCGAGUGGAAUUCCUGGUGUAGCGGUGAAAUGCGCAGAUAUCAGUCGGAACACCGGUGGCGAAGGCGGCUUCUUGGGCCCUACCUGACGCUGAGGCGCGAAAGCCAGGGGAGCGAACGGG
rnacentral:rRNA from 1 species